AUCGAACCAUCUAGUAGC
rnacentral:snRNA from 1 species